GUGCUCACUUCAGCAGAAAAUAUAAUGAAACUGGAAUGAUACAGAGAAGAUUAGCAAGGCCCCUUGAAAGGAUAACAUGCAAAUUCAUGAAGUGUUCCAUAUUUUC
ensembl:snRNA U6 U6 spliceosomal RNA